rnacentral:sRNA from 1 species
UCCUAAACCCGGUAGUAACGGAAAUCCUUUUUAUUGCUUAAAAUGGAUUAGACUAAACGUAUUGCCUAACGUAUUGAAUUUGCAAUAAAAAGAUUGGAGUGUAUAACGGGACUGCAG